UGCAGUCGAGCGGCAGCGACUUAACUGAACCUUCGGGGAACGUUAAGGGCGGCGAGCGGCGGACGGGUGAGUAAUGCCUGGGAAUAUGCCCUGAUGUGGGGGAUAACUAUUGGAAACGAUAGCUAAUACCGCAUAAUCUCUUCGGAGCAAAGAGGGGGACCUUCGGGCCUCUCGCGUCAGGAUUAGCCCAGGUGGGAUUAGCUUGUUGGUGAGGUAAUGGCUCACCAAGGCAACGAUCCCUAGCUGGUCUGAGAGGAUGAUCAGCCACACUGGAACUGAGACACGGUCCAGACUCCUACGGGAGGCAGCAGUGGGGAAUAUUGCACAAUGGGGGAAACCCUGAUGCAGCCAUGCCGCGUGUGUGAAGAAGGCCUUCGGGUUGUAAAGCACUUUCAGUAGGGAGGAAGGUAGUGUAGUUAACACCUGCAUUAUUUGACGUUACCUACAGAAGAAGCACCGGCUAACUCCGUGCCAGCAGCCGCGGUAAUACGGAGGGUGCGAGCGUUAAUCGGAAUUACUGGGCGUAAAGCGCAUGCAGGCGGCCUGUUAAGUCAGAUGUGAAAGCCCGGGGCUUAACCUCGGAAUUGCAUUUGAAACUGGCAGGCUAGAGUCUUGUAGAGGGGGGUAGAAUUUCAGGUGUAGCGGUGAAAUGCGUAGAGAUCU
rnacentral:rRNA from 1 species